UCUUGAAUUCUUCAUCUUUAACCUCCUGCAAUUCUCUCUAUAAUUCUGUCAUCAAAUCACACUGACGCCCACAAACUCUCGGCCGAUUCUCAUCCUAUAGAAUAUUAAGGACUCCUUGUGGUGGUGUUCCUUUAGAUUUGCUAUGUUUUCAAGAUUAUGAAACUAAGAGAAAAAGAGAGUUUGAGUUCGUGUAGUAGAUCGAAGAAGGAAAGAAGAAGACUGAUUUCUUCAAGGGUUUCCGUCCUCUAAAUAAUUCUUUGUUCUAUAAAAUGAAAAAUAAGACUCAAUUUCAUUCACUACUUCCACUGUGGGUAUUUGAAUCCCUUCACCUCCUUCCUCUGAAUUUUCUCUCAAAGAUCACAUCUCUUCCCUUCACAAAAAAUAAUCCAUAGGAAGCCCAUUCAACUCUGAUGUGAUUCUCACAUUGAGAAUAACAAGGAAGCCUAUGUGUCCAAUGAGUUCGUGUUGUUGUGUUCAAGAGAAGUUCUCUAUUAGAGGGAGUAGACAUCACAGUUCGUGUUUUGCUAUGGAAAGGAAACGUGAAGAAAAUAUUUGUUCAGGGAGUUUGGUGGCCAUUGGAGCAAGAUCGACCUGGAGAUCAAAACAGACGGUAGAGUAUAGCAAUUUGCCCUAGAGCGUAACGCAUAGUAUAACGAUGUUGUGCCUUACGCUAUAAGGCAGAAUGCCCAACGUAGCUACGUUUGCCAGUAGCGUUGCGACGCUACAUAGAGCAUAACAUUAUGCUACGAAAAGGAGAAAGCCAACAUAAUGACGUUGAUGCCGAGUGUCGUUACACUCCGAGGUUAAUUCGCGAGCACACCAGGUGGUUUGUGAUCCUUUGAGGCUAACACCAGUUAUU